rnacentral:rRNA from 1 species
CCUACGGGUGGCAGCAGUGGGGGAUUUUCCACAAUGGGGGAAACCCUGAUGCAGCGACGCCGCGUGGGCGAAGAAGUAUUUCGGUAUGUAAAGCCCUAUCAGCAGGGAAGAAGAAAUGACGGUACCUGAGUAAGAAGCACCGGCUAAAUACGUGCCAGCAGCCGCGGUAAUACGUAGGGGGCAAGCGUUAUCCGGAUUUACUGGGAGUAAAGGGAGCGCAGGCGGCACGGCAAGCCUGAUGUGAAAGCCCGCGGCUCAACCGGGGGAGGGCAUUGGGAACUACCGGGCUGGAGUGCAGAAGAGGAGGGCGGAAUUCCAAGUGUAGCGGUGAAAUGCGUAGAUAUAAGGAGGAACACCAGUGGCGAAGGCGGCCCACUGGACGGUGACUGACGCUGAGGCUCGAAAGCGUGGGGAGCAAACAGGAUUAGAUACCCUGGUAGUC